AAGUCGUAACAAGGUUUCCGUAGGUGAACCUGCGGAAGGAUCAUUAACACGUAUCCACGUAUCAACCCCUUGUGCUUUUUUACGUUUUGGUGACCCUGUCUUGAAUGGAACCCUCUUAGGGCUGGUGCGGACUUGAAUGGAAAAGAACUGGCGACAGUUUUUUUUGUCUGCGCGGCUGUCGUUGACGCGAGUCAACUUCGGGGUUUUAUUCUCCCGUACAGGGAUUUUUUACAUGUAAACCAUUCUACAUGGCCUUUAUACAACUAUAAACCCCUUUGUAACUUAUCUUGCUAACGCAAUUUGAUUUCUGAAUGAAAGCUAACUUGUUUAGCUGAAGUUUGGACUUCAUAUUUACGAAAUGCUUGACAACUCUUAGCAACGGAUAUCUUGGUUCUC
rnacentral:misc_RNA from 1 species